rnacentral:tRNA from 1 species
GCUAGUAUAGCACAAUUGGUAGUGCAGCUGAUUUGUAAUCAGCAGGUUGCAGGUUCGAGUCCUGUUACUAGCCCCA